GUUAUAAGAUCCCUCAAAGAUGAUGAGGUUAAUAGGUUCGAGGUGGAAGCAUGGUGACAUGUGGAGCUGACGAAUACUAAUCGAUCGAAGACUUAAUCAA
rnacentral:rRNA from 1 species